rnacentral:rRNA from 1 species
CACGUAGGGACCGAGCGUUGUCCGGAUUUAUUGGGCGUAAAGAGCUCGUAGGCGGUUCGGUAAGUCAGGCGUGUAAGCCCACGGCUCAACCGUGGAAUUGCGUUUGAAACUAUUUAGCUUGAGUACAGGAGAGGAAGGCGGAAUUCCCAGUGUAGCGGUGAAAUGCAUUGAUAUUGGGAAGAACACCGGUGGCGAAGGCGGCCUUCUGGUCUGAUACUGACGCUGAGAUACGAAAGCCAGGGGAGCGAACGGG